rnacentral:rRNA from 1 species
UUAGAGUUUUGAUCAUGGCUCAGGACGAACGCUGGCGGCGUGCUUAACACAUGCAAGUCGAGCGGUAAGGCCCUUCGGGGUACACGAGCGGCGAACGGGUGAGUAACACGUGAGCAACCUGCCCCUGACUCUGGGAUAAGCGGUGGAAACGCCGUCUAAUACCGGAUACGACCCGCCACCUCAUGGUGGAGGGUGGAAAGUUUUUCGGUCAGGGAUGGGCUCGCGGCCUAUCAGCUUGUUGGUGGGGUAACGGCCUACCAAGGCGAUUACGGGUAGCCGGCCUGAGAGGGCGACCGGCCACACUGGGACUGAGACACGGCCCAGACUCCUGCGGGAGGCAGCAGUGGGGAAUAUUGCGCAAUGGGCGAAAGCCUGACGCAGCGACGCCGCGUGGGGGAUGACGGCCUUCGGGUUGUAAACCUCUUUUACCACCAACGCAGGCUCGAAGUUUUCUUCGGGUUGACGGUAGGUGGGGAAUAAGGACCGGCUAACUACGUGCCAGCAGCCGCGGUAAUACGUAGGGUCCGAGCGUUGUCCGGAAUUAUUGGGCGUAAAGAGCUCGUAGGCGGCGUGUCAGCGUCUGCUGUGAAAGACCGGGGCUUAACUCCGGUUCUGCAGUGGAUACGGGCAUGCUAGAGGUAGGUAGGGGAGACUGGAAUUCCUGGUGUAGCGGUGAAAUGCGCAGAUAUCAGGAGGAACACCGGUGGCGAAGGCGGGUCUCUGGGCCUUACCUGACGCUGAGGAGCGAAAGCAUGGGGAGCGAACAGGAUUAGAUACCCUGGUAGUCCAUGCCGUAAACGUUGGGCGCUAGGUGUGGGGACUUUCCACGGUUUCCGCGCCGUAGCUAACGCAUUAAGCGCCCCGCCUGGGGAGUACGGCCGCAAGGCUAAAACUCAAAGGAAUUGACGGGGGCCCGCACAAGCGGCGGAGCAUGUUGCUUAAUUCGACGCAACGCGAAGAACCUUACCAAGGUUUGACAUCACCCGUGGACUCGCAGAGAUGUGAGGUCAUUUAGUUGGCGGGUGACAGGUGGUGCAUGGCUGUCGUCAGCUCGUGUCGUGAGAUGUUGGGUUAAGUCCCGCAACGAGCGCAACCCUUGUUCCAUGUUGCCAGCACGUAAUGGUGGGGACUCAUGGGAGACUGCCGGGGUCAACUCGGAGGAAGGUGGGGAUGACGUCAAGUCAUCAUGCCCCUUAUGUCUUGGGCUGCAAACAUGCUACAAUGGCCGGUACAAUGGGCGUGCGAUACCGUAAGGUGGAGCGAAUCCCUAAAAGCCGGUCUCAGUUCGGAUUGGGGUCUGCUACUCUACCCCAUGAUGGUGUAGUCACUAGUAUUCUCGGAUCAACAUCCCCUCGUAGAAUACUUUACCGAGUCGUGAACACACUGCUCGUC